rnacentral:rRNA from 1 species
GACGAACGCUGGCGGCGUGCCUAAUACAUGCCAGUAGAACGCUGAAGGAGGAGCUUGCUUCUCUGGAUGAGUUGCGAACGGGUGAGUAACGCGUAGGUAACCUGCCUGGUAGCGGGGGAUAACUAUUGGAAACGAUAGCUAAUACCGCAUAAGAGUAGAUGUUGCAUGACAUUUGCUUAAAAGGUGCAAUUGCAUCACUACCAGAUGGACCUGCGUUGUAUUAGCUAGUUGGUGGGGUAACGGCUCACCAAGGCGACGAUACAUAGCCGACCUGAGAGGGUGAUCGGCCACACUGGGACUGAGACACGGCCCAGACUCCUACGGGAGGCAGCAGUAGGGAAUCUUCGGCAAUGGACGGAAGUCUGACCGAGCAACGCCGCGUGAGUGAAGAAGGUUUUCGGAUCGUAAAGCUCUGUUGUAAGAGAAGAACGAGUGUGAGAGUGGAAAGUUCACACUGUGACGGUAUCUUACCAGAAAGGGACGGCUAACUACGUG